rnacentral:rRNA from 1 species
UACGGGGGGAGCAAGCGUUGUUCGGAUUUACUGGGCGUAAAGGGCGCGUAGGCGGUCAGCACAAGUCAGUUGUGAAAUCUCCGAGCUUAACUCGGAAAGGUCAACUGAUACUGUGCGACUAGAGUGCGGAAGGGGCAACUGGAAUUCUUGGUGUAGCGGUGAAAUGCGUAGAUAUCUGGAGGAACACCGGUGGCGAAGGCGGCGUUCUGGACUGCAUCUGACACUGAAAGACGAAAGCCAGGGGAGCAAACGGG